GAAGUGUUUCAUCCAGUCGCUGUAGGCCUUGCGCCUAUGGAGGAAAGUCCGGGCUCCGCAGGGCAGGGUGCAGGAGAAAUUCCUGUGGGUGCGAACCUAAGGAAAGCGCCACAGAAAAUAUACCGCCGGUCCGCCGGCAAGGGUGAAAAGGCGAGGCAAGAGCUCACCGGACGCGCGGCGACGCGCGUGCCUGGCAAGCCCCACCCGGAGCAAGAUCGAAUAGGGGAGGACGAGGCGGCCCGCUGACUCCCGGGUACGAUCGCUUAGAUAAAUGACUGGGCACGACAGAACCCGGCUUACGAAACGCUUCCCAA
rnacentral:RNase_P_RNA from 1 species